rnacentral:lncRNA from 1 species
UUAUAUUGGAGCCCUGUUUGUGUGGUGACAAGUGCUGAGGACAUAGACUGUUCAAUAAUCCUCCACUUACAUCUCAUUGUUUCAGUGGGACUGUGUUUAGAAGCUGUGAAUUUACAAGCCUUUUCCCACUGGGUGAGACAGAAAAGCUAGAAGGCACUGGACUCAGAGCAAUUUCUUCUCCCAAUAAGAAAGUCUCCGGCAAAUGCAUUGGCCUCUGUAGAGAAACCACUUAUUAUGGGGAAAUCUUUGGGUGUAUUUUACAGUGAUUACUCCUCUCAUGACUCUGAUCGAGAAAAUGAAGAAAUUAAAGAAGAGGGCUGAAUCUGUUCAUACUGGAUGGAAGAAGAAAAGUUGACUUAUCUGCUGAGAAGCUUAUGAGGGGCUACAAGGUAAGAAAUGGUGAGAUUAUUUGCUGAGAAUGGAAGGAUUGUUGUCAGAGGCAGUGGAUAUAGAAUAAGAGACAGCAAGGAGGUAUUAGAACCUCAUGGAGUGGAGUGGGAGAGGUAGGUGGAUGAUACAGACACAGAGGACUACCCUAGACGGCACUGAGAAUUGCUGAUGCAUUAAUAGUAGUACAAAUGUCUAAGUUUAUUUUGCUGUAAUAAAUUAAGAAAUGUAUACAGCACUCUACACACACACACACAGAAGACCUCAAACACUUUAGAGUGUGUGAAUAUAAAGAGAGAGAGGGAACUAAAAGAAAGAAUGUAUAUAACUCAUAUAUCCUUUCGUUGGAUGAACACUUAUGUAGUGAAACUUUGUUCCAAGCACAGUAUGAGGAACUGAAAGUAUACUUUUGGACAGGAAGGAUCUGACCACUCCUCUUUUAGUUUUCAGUCUAGAAAGGAAGACAAUUAAUAUCUUUGGUAUUGAAAGUUCUUAUAUUUUUAUAACUUCUCUAUUGUCUCAAAAAUGUAUGCAUUUUAAUUAGAAAAAUAACAUACAAAAUGUAUGACACAUAAACUGUUAUCUUUCUGAUAUCAAUUGCUCAAACCAUUGAAUUCUUCAGAUCUAAUUAAGAUGUAUUAUAUCUUGAAAGGCAAAUUCCAAGGAUAUUUUCUACAAUUCCAAUGACAGGCAUGUUAAAUAUCUAACCAGAUGUAUUUAUAAUAGUAUUAGCUCUUUUAUUCAUUAUAACAAAUAAUUUAGUGUAAGUGUCUUGUAUUAAAUAUACCUCCAAUAAUUGAACCUUAAAACUUUUUGUAUGGCUUCUUUUGAAUAUUGGAGUAGACCAAAAAUAGUAUUAAUAAGAGCUACACAUAAAAAUAAAUCAUUGAAAAGAAGCAAGUUAAAAAAAGAGCCUAACUUCUAAAGAAAAAAAAUUGAUGAAAAAUAUGUAUAAUAAAACAGUAAAAUUAAAAAAUACAUGAUAAAAUAUUAAGACAUUAUAAAGAUAAACUAUUACAUUUAAAAUCUGAGAUCACAAUAUAACAGGUUUUACAUGGUAAAUUAUAUGAGAUAGAAAAUUGAAAUGGAAGUACAAUAUUUUCAAAUUUAGAUAUUUCUUUGAAACCUCAAAAUAGCCAAAUGCCCUCACAUUCUCUGUUAAUCUGAUACGUAUUUUAUUGAAAUCUUAGGAAACAUGAAAUGUAUACAAUGUAAAUUUUUGAAAUGUUAUUUUAACUAUAGCAUAUUUUAAAAUG